rnacentral:tRNA from 1 species
GACAGUUAAGCUUAAUGGUAAAGCACUCAGCUGGUGUCUUGCAGGAUGUGGGUUCAACUCCUAUGGCUGUUG